rnacentral:rRNA from 1 species
AAAUGAAUUGACGGGGGCCCGCACAAGCGGCGGAGCAUGCGGAUUAAUUCGAUGCAACGCGAAGAACCUUACCUGGGUUUGACAUGCCGGGAAAUCCUGCAGAGAUGUGGGGUGCCUUCGGGCGUCCGGCACAGGUGGUGCAUGGCUGUCGUCAGCUCGUGUCGUGAGAUGUUGGGUUAAGUCCCGCAACGAGCGCAACCCUUGUCCCGUGUUGCCAGCGGGUUAUGCCGGGGACUCACGGGAGACUGCCGGGGUUAACUCGGAGGAAGGUGGGGAUGACGUCAAGUCAUCAUGCCCCUUAUGUCCAGGGCUUCACGCAUGCUACAAUGGCCGGUACAGAGAGUUGCGAUAUCGUGAGGUGGAGCGAAUCUCUUAAAGCCGGUCUCAGUUCGGAUCGGGGUCUGCAACUCGACCCCGUGAAGUCGGAGUCGCUAGUAAUCGCAGAUCAGCAACGCUGCGGUGAAUACGUUCCCGGGCCUUGUACACACCGCCCGU